AGAAAACUAUGAUUAAUAUCAGAUAUUUGUUUUUAUUAAUUGAUGACUUCUUGAAUUCUGCAAUUCUUUCUUAAAAAGGAUGAGAGUCGAAAAUAUCAGUUGGCCGUAGAAAAGUACGCAAAAGGUAUUGUAGACAUGUCAAUGUCAAGACCUGUCGAGGUCUUAUACAGAUAUUUAGCUAAAACUACAGACACAUCACUGUCAGGUCCUGAGGAGGAAGAUGAAGAACAUCUCCUGGCGUUAAUUCAGAGAUAAUGCAGACAUGUUAGUAUCCAGUCCCUAUGAGGUGGAGGUGGAAGAACUUAAAAAGGUCGUGCCAGCUAAAGAACAUAAGCUUAAGCACAGAGGAUUGACGCUCUUCCAGGGGGCUCGCUAACACAAAGUAAUUAUGAUCAAUGGAAUAAGAGUACUUGCUUUUGUUAAGCUGUGUCCAUAAUUCUUUAAGUGAGUUAACUAAAACAAAUUAGGACGUGCAAAUCGUUAAAUU